rnacentral:rRNA from 1 species
CUUCCGUAGGUGAACCUGCGGAAGGAUCAUUACCGAGUGCGGGUCCUUUGGGCCCAACCUCCCAUCCGUGUCUAUUGUACCCUGUUGCUUCGGCGGGCCCGCCGCUUGUCGGCCGCCGGGGGGGCGCCUCUGCCCCCCGGGCCCGUGCCCGCCGGAGACCCCAACACGAACACUGUCUGAAAGCGUGCAGUCUGAGUUGAUUGAAUGCAAUCAGUUAAAACUUUCAACAAUGGAUCUCUUGGUUCCGGCAUCGAUGAAGAACGCAGCGAAAUGCGAUAACUAAUGUGAAUUGCAGAAUUCAGUGAAUCAUCGAGUCUUUGAACGCACAUUGCGCCCCCUGGUAUUCCGGGGGGCAUGCCUGUCCGAGCGUCAUUGCUGCCCUCAAGCCCGGCUUGUGUGUUGGGUCGCCGUCCCCCUCUCCGGGGGGACGGGCCCGAAAGGCAGCGGCGGCACCGCGUCCGAUCCUCGAGCGUAUGGGGCUUUGUCACAUGCUCUGUAGGAUUGGCCGGCGCCUGCCGACGUUUUCCAACCAUUCUUUCCAGGUUGACCUCGGAUCAGGUAGGGAUACCCGCUGAACUUAAGCAUAUCAAUAAGCGAGGAA